UACAGAGGUCUCAAGCGUUGUUCGGAUUCAUUGGGCGUAAAGGGUGCGUAGGCGGUGGGGUAAGUCUGGUGUGAAAUCUCGGAGCUCAACUUCGAAAUUGCACUGGAUACUGCUCUGCUAGAGGGCUGGAGAGGAGAUCGGAAUUCACGGUGUAGCAGUGAAAUGCGUAGAUAUCGUGAGGAAGACCAGUGGCGAAGGCGGAUCUCUGGACAGCUCCUGACGCUGAGGCGCGAAGGCUAGGGGAGCAAACGGG
rnacentral:rRNA from 1 species